UACCAGCACCCCGAGUGUUCGGGACGAUUAUUGGGCCUAAAGCAUCCGUAGCCUGUUCUGCAAGUCCUCCGUUAAAUCCACCUGCUCAACGGAUGGGCUGCGGAGGAUACCGCAGAGCUAGGAGGCGGGAGAGGCAAACGGUACUCAGUGGGUAGGGGUAAAAUCCAUUGAUCUACUGAAGACCACCAGUGGCGAAGGCGGUUUGCCAGAACGCGCUCGACGGUGAGGGAUGAAAGCUGGGGGAGCAAACCGG
rnacentral:rRNA from 1 species